rnacentral:rRNA from 1 species
CGAAAGCCUGACGGAGCAAUACCGCGUGAGGGAUGAAGGAUUUUGGUCUGUAAACCUCUUUUCUCAAGAAAGAAGUUCUGACGGUACUUGAGGAAUAAGCAUCGGCUAACUCCGUGCCAGCAGCCGCGGUAAUACGGGGGAUGCAAGCGUUAUCCGGAAUGAUUGGGCGUAAAGCGCCUGUAGGUUGUUUAUUAAGUCCGUUGUUAAAGCCUAGGGCUCAACCCUAGAAAAGCAAUGGAAACUAGUAGACUAGAGUAUGGCAGGGGUAGAGGGAAUUUCUAGUGUAGCGGUGAAAUGCGUAGAUAUUAGAAAGAACACCGGUGGCGAAAGCGCUCUACUGGACCAUUACUGACACUCAGAGGCGAAAGCUAGGGUAGCAAAAG